AGUAUUUUGACUAUACAAAGGUAUUGAAAUAAGACUUUAAUUGAGUGCUAAGAGAAUGGAAUUUCAUAAAAUUUCUUUUUUAAUUUUAAAAAUUGAAAUUAAUUUUAUAUGUGAAGAAACAAUAAUAAAAAUUAAGGACAAGAAGACCCUAAGAAUUUUAAAAAUUUCAAUAAAAUACAAUAUUUUAUUGAAAUUUUUUAAUUGGGGCGAUUAUUAAAUAUUAAAAACUUUAAUUUUUUAAAAAAGAACCAAUAAUAUUGGUUAUUUGAAAAAAUACUCUAGGGAUAACAGCGUAAUAAUUUUUGAUAGUUCUUAUAGACAAAAUAGUUUGCGACCUCGAUGUUGGAUUAGGAUUCUUUUUUAAUGAAGAAGUUAAAAAAAGAAGUUUGUUCAACUUUUAAAAUCCUA
rnacentral:rRNA from 1 species